rnacentral:rRNA from 1 species
UUCCCUUAUUCUUCGGGAGGCAGCCGUAGGGAAUUUUUGCCAAAGGGGGGAAAGCUGGACGACGAGCACGCCGCGUGAGUGAAGAAGGUUUUCGGAUCGUAAAGCUCUGUUGUCAGAGAAGAACAAGGGUGAGAGUAACUGUUUCAUCCUUUGCCGGUUCCUAACCAGAAAGCCCGGGUUACUUCGUGCCCGCCGCCCGCGGUAUUAAA